UGGAAAUUACGAAAAAAACCUGGUCAAUACAGUUAUAAAAAGGGGAAGAGGAAACUGGAAAAAAAAAUAGAAAAAGUCGGUUCUACUUUUGAGACUUGUAUCAAAAUCUUAGAAAACUGCCAGACAAACAGUAAGUAAACAUUAUACACUUCAGCCUUAUCCACCACCCCAGUGAUGUGGUGGGUCUUGGGAGGAACUGGGAAUCGUGUUGGUAUGGGCUCUGCUUGGUUCUGCUGUUCUCCUCACACUGAGAUCAUUGGAGGAUCAGGGGCUGCAGUGGCCCAGGUCAUGGUGGAAGAAGCCUGUUCUCAGUAGGGUGACCCACUCAAAGGUUGUGGUUGAAAAGCUUUCAGUGUGCUUGCAGGUGUCAGGCAAGCUAGAUAACUGUGUGUUUUCCUUGGAUUUCUCCAGACAGAGAUGGCUGUCUUAUUGGAGUAAACAACAAGAACCUUUGAAUCUCCUGGCAGGAUAGCUUGGGGAAGUGGGAAGGUUUGUCCUUGGUGGAUUUACUUACACUGAAGUUUGAUUCCACAGGAGUUCUGGACAGGCUUGCUAGGGAUGUUAAAACUGAAUAGUAGGUGUAUAAAUUGUCAUGUUCCCAUCUUUCUAGACUAGCACAUGAUUUAUAAUUGUUUCUAUGUUAAUCCCAUUAAUGAAAGCAGAAAUCCAGUUUCUGCUUAAUUAAAACUGCGAUCUACCUCCCCCAGUUGUGUGAAUGGUAUUGCUGCAGUUUAAAUACAAAACAUUUCACAUUCAUGAAGCUUCUAGAGAAAUAGAAAAAGGAGUACUAAGGUCUAUGUCUGUAUUUGCACAUACUGUGCCAUAACUGUGAUUGAUGUGCAGAGUAAACCAGUGCUGAGGACCUCAUGCCUGUGCUACAUGUUCCUUGGGCUCACUUAGCCUGUUCCCUGCUGUAGGGGAGUCCUGUGCCUGCUGUGAUGGUAAUCAAAGUGCAAUGCACAAGGAGGGGAGGGUUGUCCUCACCAAUUUGCUUAGAUACUGAAUUAGAUGCACCCCGAUCUUUGGCAGCAGUAGGUACUUGUCAUAGUAUUACACCUCCCCUUGGUAAACUUGUAGGCAGGUAUGUGACUAAGUUAAAAGCAUCUCAAGAUCAGUCACGAUGCUUCUAGUUUCUAGUCUCCAUCCACCACUCAACUGUUGGCCUUUUUGCAACCUGAACUUCCAGACCCACAAGAAAAUCCUGUAAGAGUAUCCCAGUACCUAGUGACAUGCAUUUCUUCUGCAGUAAGGAUUUGUGCUUACAGUUUACUGGUUCCUUUUUGCUAUAGUACAAUAGUGCUGGAAUACAGUCAGCAAUGCAAGAGCCAGCUGCAGGGUAGUGUUUUCCAUUCCAGUCUGAUGAAGUUAGCAGUUAAUCAAAAUGUGUUCAACUAUUUUGUCAGAAGUCAGGUGUUGCAGAAAAGGAAUUUAUAGGAACUUCUGGUAAUAACAUGAAGGUACCUCAGCCAUGUCUUCCUUAGUUUGUUGUUCAGGUCACGCUGCUGCUUUUCACUAAAUGACUUUGCUCGAAGUAACCUCUUGCCAGGCGUGUUUUCCUUAAGGCCUCAACAGACCAUUUAUAAUGAUGCUCAGUAUAGUCGGUAUGUGGUAACAAACUGGAAACUAAUCCCAUGUCUGCUGAAAGCUAAAACCAAGGCUGUAUAAUAUUCUUCAUGUUAAGGACAGGAAUGGUGUUACUGAAGUAUGUUCCAGUUCUUGAGUGGCAAAUGAAAUGCAGGCUGAGCAAAGACUGGCUUUCCACUUUACACGAAGGGGGUGGAGGGGUAAAUAGUUGGAAUAGUGCAGCUACUGCAUGGAGGGGGUCUGUGAAAGCUCAAUAAAUGCUGUCUGUCACAACUAACUGCAGCUGGGAAAGAAGGGCACAAUGGUGCUUGAAGAACAGUGGGUAGUAGGAAAAUGUAAACCUGCAUCUGGAAAGGAUUCUGGGGGAAGGAGGUCUAAGAUGAUUCAUACCAAUUUGAACAUUAUUCAUUGAGAAGCAAAAUACAAGUUUUACUUUUGUGAUCUUCCUGUAUGAGCAGCUUGGGCUAAUAAUGGAAGAAUAUUACAUAAGGAUUUGCUUUGAGUCUUCCCUCUCACCUGAAUUAGAUUUGAUAUUUUUCUGCUAUGACAUAUCAGUUAUCUUCCUUAUCUUCUAAGCCAUAAAACAAGCAGAUCCUACUGCUAAUGUGGAAGCCAAGUGGUAAUGAAACCUGACUAUCAAACUUGAUCUACAUACUGAGUUCUGUAAUUAGAUCUUAAAAAACAAUUUUAAAAUUUGGAUUUAAAAAAGAUUGGAAAGAAGCCCAAAGAAGCUUUAUGCAGACUUUGUGCAUGAUAAAUGUAAUACCAGAUAGUAAAUGUACUAGAAUGCUAUUUUUAAGUUAAAAUGGUGUUGCACCACAGUAUUUCCCUAGCUGGAAACUACUACAAACCCUGCUUGUAUUUGGAGCAUUCAUGAAGCUUGACUAUAUACACUGUCAUAAAAGACUCCAAUUCUCUUAUUUGACUUCAAGAUACUAGUAUAACUGUCUAGAAAAAGUAGUGCAAAACAUUGAUAGUCAAAACACAUUGAUGUCUUUGCUGUGCCUUUAGGAUAGAAAACAUUCUCUCCUGUGUGCAGGAAGUACAAAGAGAAGCAACGCUCAUGGUGCCUUUAAAAUCUGAACAAAGUUCUUGGGAAAUAUCCCAGACUUUCCUUGUAUCUCUCCACUCAUCCAGUCCUCGUCCACAGAUUCCAGCUCUGUUAUUAUCUCACCUGUCUGUAAGAGAAGGAGUAACGUGAGCCUGUGCAGCUUACCCUGCAAUGCUAACACAUGCAUAGCUGAUGUUACUCAGAAGCAAUUAAUACCAAUCAAAUAGAAGUAGGAUAUGGCCAGUCUCUUCUAUUGGUUGUAUCUCUGAGAUUGUUUGUCCAAACUAGCUGAAGCUUCUUUUAGGGUAAAUACUUGUCUAUACUGAAAAAGCACUGCUGGGUAACUUCUUGUGUUGCUGAAGCUCUCCAGGCAGGCAGGUACAUAAGAGAGUUGUCUCACUUGUUAUUUGUGUGUUUCCCUGCUAUUAUUAGGCUUUCUUUUCUGGCAACACUUAGACUGGUUUUUUUUCUUUCCCCUUUUUUUCCUUCUUUCAGUUUAGUCCCAGUAUUUGGAAAGUUUCCAGAGGAAAGUGUCCUGUCUUCAGAAGGAAAAUCAUCAUCUACAUAUCUCAGUGUGCCUGUUUAAAAUAAUCUGCAGCUCCUGUGUUUGAUCCUUCCUCCUGUUUUCAUCAUCUCAUGCCACACCCUUCAUCUGAGAAGGGAAAAUAGUGUGUUCCAGCUGAUACACAACAUUUUGGACCUGCUGUAGAAGUCUUGUUUCUCAGAAACUCGCUUUUGAGGACACAGUUAGCAUUCGUUAGCAGCAUAAGACCUUUUGGAAAAAUGUCUAAUAGAGGUACUUACUUUGAAGGAAAGCUCAUCUUCAUUUUCUCCAUGAAAAUCAUAAAGAGCUUUGGCUUUUCCUUUCUUUCCUCCUACAGACUGUGACAGCUCUACCUUGGCUGCAGAACAUGGACAAGACAAGUUAUUUGGGUUGGAAUGAAAUAAAUCUGUUUCCAGAAAAGUUCUCUGUCAUUCUCGUGUUUUCUCCCUACUACUGUG